rnacentral:rRNA from 1 species
ACGAUAACGGCGUCGAGCGGCGGACGGGUGAGUAAUGCCUAGGAAAUUGCCCUGAUGUGGGGGAUAACCAUUGGAAACGAUGGCUAAUACCGCAUGAUGCCUACGGGCCAAAGAGGGGGACCUUCGGGCCUCUCGCGUCAGGAUAUGCCUAGGUGGGAUUAGCUAGUUGGUGAGGUAAGGGCUCACCAAGGCGACGAUCCCUAGCUGGUCUGAGAGGAUGAUCAGCCACACUGGAACUGAGACACGGUCCAGACUCCUACGGGAGGCAGCAGUGGGGAAUAUUGCACAAUGGGCGCAAGCCUGAUGCAGCCAUGCCGCGUGUGUGAAGAAGGCCUUCGGGUUGUAAAGCACUUUCAGUUGUGAGGAAGG